rnacentral:rRNA from 1 species
GACGAACGCUGGCGGCGUGCUUAACACAUGCAAGUCGAACGGAAAGGCUCCAGCUUGCUGGCGUACUCGAGUGGCGAACGGGUGAGUAACACGUGGGUGAUCUGCCCUGCACUUCGGGAUAAGCCUGGGAAACUGGGUCUAAUACCGGAUAGGACCGCACUUUGGUGUGUGUGGUGGAAAGGUUUUUCUGGUGUGGGAUGAGCUCGCGGCCUAUCAGUUUGUUGGUGGGGUAAUGGCCUACCAAGACGGCGACGGGUAGCCGGCCUGGGAGGGUGGACGGGCUCAUGGGGCCUGCGAUACGGCCCAGACGCCUACGGGGGGCAGCAGUGGGGAAUAUUGCACAAUGGGGGAAACCCGGAUGAAGCGGCGCCGCGUGGGGAAUGAAGGCCUUCGGGUUGUAAACUCCUUUCGCUAGGGACGAAGCUUUUUGUGACGGUACCUGGAGAAGAAGCACCGGCUACCUACGU